UGCAAGUCGAACGGUAACAGGUCUUCGGAUGCUGACGAGUGGCGAACGGGUGAGUAAUACAUCGGAACGUGCCCAGUCGUGGGGGAUAACUACUCGAAAGAGUAGCUAAUACCGCAUACGAUCUGAGGAUGAAAGCGGGGGACCUUCGGGCCUCGCGCGAUUGGAGCGGCCGAUGGCAGAUUAGGUAGUUGGUGGGAUAAAAGCUUACCAAGCCGACGAUCUGUAGCUGGUCUGAGAGGACGACCAGUCACACUGGGACUGAGACACGGCCCAGACUCCUACGGGAGGCAGCAGUGGGGAAUUUUGGACAAUGGGCGAAAGCCUGAUCCAGCAAUGCCGCGUGCAGGAUGAAGGCCUUCGGGUUGUAAACUGCUUUUGUACGGAACGAAAAAGCUCCUUCUAAUACAGGGGGCCCAUGACGGUACCGUAAGAAUAAGCACCGGCUAACUACGCGCCAGCAGCCGCGGUAAUACGUAGGGUGCGAGCGUUAAUCGGAAUUACUGGGCGUAAAGCGUGCGCAGGCGGUUAUAUAAGACAGAUGUGAAAUCCCCGGGCUCAACCUGGGAACUGCAUUUGUGACUGUAUAGCUAGAGUACGGCAGAGGGGGAUGGAAUUCCGCGUGUAGCAGUGAAAUGCGUAGAUAUGCGGAGGAACACCGAUGGCGAGGCAAUCCCC
rnacentral:rRNA from 1 species